rnacentral:misc_RNA from 1 species
CAGUAGAAGUCUGAAUGGCAUGCCAAAAUAAGAGCUAGAAUCGAAUUAGGAAGCUAGCUACUGCAUAGUAUAUGGCCUGUGUGUCACUACACGACCUGGGGUAUGUAAGUUUCUGGAGUGACUUCGGCUUUUUUUCAAAUGGGAGGCAAAAGGUUACAUGGGGUAUGUGACUUUACACGGGUUAAAGUACAUGAUCCGUGUACUAUCUCCUUCCCUUUAGUUCUUCAAGCUUCGUUAAUCAGAAGGUUGCACGGGUCCUUGGAUGGUACACGG